rnacentral:rRNA from 1 species
CAGCAGCCGCGGGAAUACGUAGGGUGCAAGCGUUAAUCGGAAUUACUGGGCAUAAAGCGUGCGCAGGCGGUUAUAUAAAUCAGAUGUGAAAUCCCCGGGCUCAACCUGGGAACUGCAUUUGAGACUGUAUGGCUAGAGUGUGUCAGAGGGGGGUAGAAUUCCACGUGUAGCAGUGAAAUGCGUAGAUAUGUGGAGGAAUACCGAUGGCGAAGGCAGCCCCCUGGGAUAACACUGACGCUCAUGCACGAAAGCGUGGGGAGCAAACAGGAUUAGAUACCCCUGUAGUCCCUGUCUCUUAUAC